CCUACGGGAGGCAGCAGUGAGGAAUAUUGGUCAAUGGGUGCAAGCCUGAACCAGCCAUCCCGCGUGAAGGACGACUGCCCUAUGGGUUGUAAACUUCUUUUGUAUAGGGAUAAACCUAUCCUCGUGAGGGUAGCUGAAGGUACUAUACGAAUAAGCACCGGCUAACUCCGUGCCAGCAGCCGCGGUAAUACGGAGGGUGCAAGCGUUAUCCGGAUUCAUUGGGUUUAAAGGGUGCGUAGGCGGAUAGAUAAGUCAGUGGUGAAAGCCGGUCGCUCAACGAUCGAAUUGCCAUUGAUACUGUUUAUCUAGAAUAUAGAUGAUGUUGGCGGAAUAUGACAUGUAGCGGUGAAAUGCAUAGAUAUGUCAUAGAACACCUAUUGCGAAGGCAGCUGACAAAACUAUAAUUGACGCUGAUGCACGAAAGUGCGGGGAUCAAACAGGAUUAGAUACCCUGGUAGUCCGCACAGUAAACGAUGAUAACUAGAUGUUUGCGAUAUACCGUAAGCGUCCAAGCGAAAGCGAUAAGUUAUCCACCUGGGGAGUACGCCCGCAAGGGUGAAACUCAAAGGAAUUGACGG
rnacentral:rRNA from 1 species